CGAACGGGUGAGUAAUAUAUCGGAACGUGCCCAGUAGUGGGGGAUAGCCCGGCGAAAGCCGGAUUAAUACCGCAUACGACCUACGGGUGAAAGGGGGGGAUCGCAAGACCUCUCGCUAUUGGAGCGGCCGAUGUCAGAUUAGCUAGUUGGUAGGGUAAAAGCCUACCAAGGCAACGAUCUGUAGCUGGUCUGAGAGGACGACCAGCCACACUGGGACUGAGACACGGCCCAG
rnacentral:rRNA from 1 species